UUAAGUCAAAAGAUACAUUACUUUGGAAAAAAGGAUCUGCUUUUAUUUCCACAGGAUAUGAGAGGCUCUGGAUUCAUUCUGGGUUAAGAAAAUCAGGUUUGAUCGAGGAAGAACCCCUGAAAAAUCUCCGAUGGGAAUGGAUGGCCCCGAUGAUCCAGCAUUUCAGAGUGCAUCUGUUGGAGUUUCCUCUGAGUUCUGCAUCCAGAACAGCUUCAAGGUUGCUGACUGAGAUGAACCAGCCUCACAGAAUAUUCCAGUUAGGACUUGACCAUAAUCCUAAAUUUUCUCAGGGUCCCCCAAAGAUUGUCAGCACCCCCAAUCAACAGGAAGUAAGUCUAAAGAACUACACUCACAUUCCCAAAAUAUUGGUUAUAAAUGUUUGUUUUCAUUUAAGGGGGGUAGGUUACAAUUUGUUAUUGGUUAUAGUCAAUCUCUUUCUAAAAGAAGAAAUGGGGAUAUGAUACAGAAAUGAUGGGGGAAAGGAUAGAUUAUUAUGAUGGGAAAAAAGGGUAGAUUAUUGAAUCUAUUUUAAUCCAAAAAAAACAACUAUUAAUCUUACAUAUUUUGCAUUGGCUUGGAUUUUUGUAUAUUGAUACAAAUUUGAGGUUAUUUUUGUUAGAACAUACUGUACAUACAUUUCUGCCCUUAUUCAAGGUAUUGUACCUAUACGGCUCAUUUAACAAUGUAAUGCCAAUUUCAAGUACUUGAAAGUUAUUAUUACAAACUAUUUAGGAUAAUAAAAAUUCAGGUUAGUAGUUAGUCACCUAUUACAAUCAAACUUGUAGUAGUAAUAGGUUUAUAUCAAACAGAUUUAUUUUAGAUAGAUAGGUUGUCUUCAAACACUUCAGAGAUCUACAGAAUAUAUCAUUUAAGAUAUUUUAAUAACAUAGGUUCUUUUUUUUUUUAAUGAUAAGAGACAUGUCUGCUCCUGGCAGUACCAAUCUAAUUCAGAGAAGAUGAUGGACAUUGAAGACACUCCAUAUGGAGUUUACUUUCUUUGUGGCAAAAGUUAGCCACUAGGCAAGAAAGUGCCCUUGCCUCGACUGUUGACAGUAUGCUGUGUAAAUUGGACAAGCAGAACACAAAAGAAAGUGACUGCCAAACUUUGCCAAGACAAGGUAGGACAGCCCUUCAGAAUAUUCUGCUUCACAGAAAAAUCUGUCAGAUACUAGGCCUGCCUGUAGGCUGAAGACGGAUGCUCCAAUGUUACAGAGGAAACUUUGGUGACUAUCCAGGCAGCCAGCUGUUUCUGUCAUUUCUCUCAUUUUUUGGAAGUUGCUUGCCUGCACUUCCUGUUUACACAGGUAAUAUUAUAGCCUUCUCAGGUCUCUGAUGAGGUUGCAGACUAGAUAGUUGUAGUUAUAGUUUUCCUUGUUACCAGACUCAGAAAAGGGUUGAAAGACAUCAAAAGAUAGUUUUGGGUUGUUAAUGCAAAUUAGGAUAGAAGGUGAAUUAGGCACAACCCUUUGGACUCACCAAGAUAGGCUAGAAAAUGGAGUAUUUUCCCUGAAUUUGUCAAAUGUUAAUGGACUAGACAUUGUUGAUGUAAUUAGUGCCUGUAUAUGUAGUAUAUAGUUAUUGUACUUAUUGUAUAUAGUUUUUCUUUAUUAGUUAUAACCUUCUCUUCUUACUUUAGACACAAAGGGGGAAAUGUUGUGAUAUUUUGUUUAUGUUCUGACAAGUAAGGCUUUCCUGAAGAUCAGAGGGUGGAGCUAGCCACUAGUUAACUAUAGAGGUCUGGAGAUCUGUACAGACAGGAGACUGGCCUCAACUGCUUUUCUAAUCCACAGUCCCAAGGUCUAUAUUCCUUCAGACAAAAGCAUGGUCAGGCCUAUCACAAAUUGCCUGUGCCAACUUCUGUCUUAGUUAGGGCUUCUAUUGCUAUAAAGAGACACUGUGACUAUGGCAACUCUUAUAAAGGAAAAAACAGUUAAUUGAGGUGGCUUACAUUUUCAGAGGUUUAGUCCAUUAUCAUCAUGGUGUGACAUGGUGGCAUGCAGGCAGACAUGAUGCUGGAGCUGAGAGUCCUACAUGAUGAUAGGCAGGCAACAGGAAGUGGUCUAUCUCACUGGGCGUGGAUUGAGCAUAUAUGAGACCUCAAAGCCUGCCUCCACAAUGACACACUUUCUCUAACAAGGCCAUACCUACUCCAACAAAGCCACACCUUCUAAUGGUACCAGUCCCUUUGGGGGUCAUUUUCUUUCAAACCACCACAGGCUCCCUCCAAGUCGCUGCACAAGAGAGGAGGCAGGCACCUGUGGCCAGAGGACAGAGCCCUUGAGCAAUACUCCAAGUACCACUGAAUACAGCCUCUGGCCCUAGGGAGGAGUUGCUGCUGAAGAGCUCAGGAAUAUGAAAAAAAAAUGACCCAACAUUUUGGUGGCCCACCCGGGGAUCUGCUCAAUUCUGGGAAGGCACCCCAGUCUCUGGCAACUUUAUUCUACUGGGUUUGGCUGACUGGAUUUCAGGAACGCAGCAGUGGUUUUUUGCCAGCCUUCUCUGCCUCUCCCUGCCUCAGGCAUCCCCAGCUCUCCACUGCAGCCCAGCUGGCUCCAGUCUGUGUCAGCAGGGUGUGCUGUGCUGGCCGCCUAGAGGAUAGCUCCUCCCCAGCAGGGGCAGUCCUACUUUUGAGAUAGAAUCACUCGCUGACUGGAACUCACCUAGCUGGUGAAGACAAGCAGUUGAUUCCAGAUGUAGCCAAGUUGACAACCAAGAUUAGCCAUCAUAGUCCUGAACCUAGUCACCUUGGAUUUGAGGAACACCAGCACUCGUCCAUCAACAUCAUUAUGACAAGGAUCUGAACCCAUCGCCAAACGAAGAUGGCAAUCUAUGCUGCUGAGGCUGCCUGAGGACCAGAAGUCAUCUUAGGAGAACCAGCUUGUCCCUUUGAGUCAUGACAGCAAAAACUUCUUUCCACUGAGGCAAGAAAAAAAGGGUAGGGAUAACUAUGGGGACUUCUCACCAGCUGAGAAGCAAGAGCUCCACAGUUAAAAGCACUGGCUGCUCUUGCAGAGGACCUGGGUUCAGUUCCCAGAAUCCACAUGGUAGUUUACAAAUAACUCUGUAACUCCAGUUUCAGGUGAUCCAACGGCCUCUUUGGGCCUCCUCAGACACCACAUGCAUGCAUGCACGUGCACAUGGUGUAUAUACAUACAUGCAGACAAACAUUUGUACACAUAAAAUAAAAGUAAAUCUUUCUUAAAGAAUUCCAAGGCAAUGAACAUUAGUUUAUGGCCUUUCUCCCUUUCUUACUGAAAACCUGCAGGUUCUUGGGACCCUUGCCAGAAAUCUCAUUUGCAAUAAAAGAACC